AACAUCCAUAGAACUAUCAUUGAUUGACAGAGUAUUAAAUGAAAAUAAU
rnacentral:guide_RNA from 1 species